rnacentral:rRNA from 1 species
AGUGAACGCUGGCGGUAGGCCUAACACAUGCAAGUCGAACGGCAGCACAGUAAGAGCUUGCUCUUACGGGUGGCGAGUGGCGGACGGGUGAGGAAUACAUCGGAAUCUACUUUUUCGUGGGGGAUAACGUAGGGAAACUUACGCUAAUACCGCAUACGACCUACGGGUGAAAGCAGGGGAUAUUCGGACCUUGCGCGAUUGAAUGAGCCGAUGUCGGAUUAGCUAGUUGGCGGGGUAAAGGCCCACCAAGGCGACGAUCCGUAGCUGGUCUGAGAGGAUGAUCAGCCACACUGGAACUGAGACACGGUCCAGACUCCUACGGGAGGCAGCAGUGGGGAAUAUUGGACAAUGGGCGCAAGCCUGAUCCAGCCAUACCGCGUGGGUGAAGAAGGCCUGCGGGUUGUAAAGCCCUUUUGUUGGGAAAGAAAAGCAGCAGGUUAAUACCCCGCUGUUCUGACGGUACCCAAAGAAUAAGCACCGGCUAACUUCGU